rnacentral:rRNA from 1 species
UGGGGAAUAUUGCACAAUGGGCGAAAGCCUGAUGCAGCAACGCCGCGUGAGUGAUGAAGGCCUUCGGGUUGUAAAGCUCUGUCUUUUGGGACGAUAAUGACGGUACCAAAGGAGGAAGCCACGGCUAACUACGUGCCAGCAGCCGCGGUAAUACGUAGGUGGCAAGCGUUGUCCGGAUUUACUGGGCGUAAAGGAUGCGUAGGCGGAUUUUUAAGUGAGAUGUGAAAACCCUAAGCUUAACUUGGGGACUGCAUUUCAUACUGGAAAUCUAGAGUGCGGGAGAGGAGAAUGGAAUUCCUAGUGUAGCGGUGAAAUGCGUAGAGAUUAGGAAGAACACCAGUGGCGAAGGCGAUUCUCUGGACCGUAACUGACGCUGAGGCAUGAAAGCGUGGGUAGCAAACAGGAUUAGAUACCCUGGUAGUCCACGCCGUAAACGAUGAGUACUAGGUGUAGGAGGUAUCGACCCCUUCUGUGCCGCAGUUAACACAAUAAGUACUCCGCCUGGGAAGUACGAUCGCAAGAUUAAAACUUAAAGGAAUUGACGGGGGUCAUAGCUGUUU